rnacentral:rRNA from 1 species
AGCGAACGCUGGCGGCAGGCCUAACACAUGCAAGUCGAACGAAGUCUUCGGACUUAGUGGCGGACGGGUGAGUAACACGUGGGAACGUGCCUUUAGGUUCGGAAUAACUCAGGGAAACUUGUGCUAAUACCGAAUGUGCCCUUCGGGGGAAAGAUUUAUCGCCUUUAGAGCGGCCCGCGUCUGAUUAGCUAGUUGGUGAGGUAAAGGCUCACCAAGGCUACGAUCAGUAGCUGGUCUGAGAGGAUGACCAGCCACAUUGGGACUGAGACACGGCCCAAACUCCUACGGGAGGCAGCAGUGGGGAAUCUUGCGCAAUGGGCGAAAGCCUGACGCAGCCAUGCCGCGUGGAUGAUGAAGGUCUUAGGAUUGUAAAAUCCUUUCACCGGUGAGGAUAAUGACUGUAGCCGGAGAAGAAGCCCCGGCUAACUUCGUGCCAGCAGCCGCCGUAAUAC